rnacentral:rRNA from 1 species
UAAUACGUAGGUGGCAAGCGUUGUCCGGAAUUAUUGGGCGUAAAGCGCGCGCAGGCGGUCCCUUAAGUCUGAUGUGAAAGCCCCCGGCUUAACCGGGGAGGGUCAUUGGAAACUGGGGGACUUGAGUGCAGAAGAGAAGAGCGGAAUUCCAUGUGUAGCGGUGAAAUGCGCAGAGAUAUGGAGGAACACCAGUGGCGAAGGCGGCUCUUUGGUCUGUAACUGACGCUGAGGCGCGAAAGCGUGGGGAGCAAACAGG